UCCCUGAACUGGGUCAUGUCCGAAAGGACGCAGCCGCACCUGUCCUGGU
rnacentral:SRP_RNA from 14 species